rnacentral:rRNA from 1 species
UCGAACGGUAACGCGGGGCAACCUGGCGACGAGUGGCGAACGGGUGAGUAAUAUAUCGGAACGUGCCCAGUAGUGGGGGAUAGCCCGGCGAAAGCCGGAUUAAUACCGCAUACGACCUAUGGGUGAAAGCGGGGGAUCGCAAGACCUCGCGUUAUUGGAGCGGCCGAUAUCAGAUUAGCUAGUUGGUGGGGUAAAAGCCUACCAAGGCGACGAUCUGUAGCUGGUCUGAGAGGACGACCAGCCACACUGGGACUGAGACACGGCCCAGACUCCUACGGGAGGCAGCAGUGGGGAAUUUUGGACAAUGGGCGCAAGCCUGAUCCAGCCAUGCCGCGUGCGGGAAGAAGGCCUUCGGGUUGUAAACCGCUUUUGUCAGGGAAGAAACGCGCUGAGCUAAUACCUCGGCGUAAUGACGGUACCUGAAGAAUAAGCACCGGCUAACUACGUGCCAGCAGCCGCGGUAAUACGUAGGGUGCAAGCGUUA